UUGCGAACUGCGAACUUGUGUGACUCCCGGUUCAUCCUCUUUGUUCGGGUCAUUGGGUUGGUGUUGGAGUUUGUCACCAUAUUCUGAACGUUUCACCUAUCGUUGUGGUGUACUGUUCUUGAUCUGCUGCGAAGCGACGAACCGCAAUGGCAGUCACUCGCCUCAGCGAACUUCUGUCUGCAUCUCAAAGGAGCAUGGGGACCUGAUGAUACCUUCAACUAAAGAAACCAAAUUUGCUCUCGUGUGGUCCUGACGGAAAAGUAGUAUCAACAAGGCUAUGCCGCUCCGAAGCAUUGAGAUGACGAAGCGUCGUGGUAGCUGCACCUCUGCCUUCGAAAGAUGAAUCAGUCAUUCCACACUGUGCUUACUGGCUUUGUAUAGAGUCUGGCAAAUCCGACAGACUUGGACUACCUUUUUCAAGAAAGUUUGAAAUAGCAUCCCUUAUGCACCUGCAUUUCAAUUCCAAUCUGUAUUACAAGAAUGACAGACCACUCAACAGAGAUGAACAUCUGAAAGUGAAAGAGCUGGAAUGAAGAUAUGUUAAUCUGUGUCGAAGGUUCUUAGUAUGUGUGCGAGUCGAGGACAUAGGUCUCAAGCUUAUUCCUGUCUUCAGAAGUGGUGACAACUAUGCUCCUUCUAUCUAUUAACCAGCUCCACUUUUUAGGGUUCCCUGUAAACUAAUGGAGCACAUCAUGUACUACCACGUUGUCAACCAAGUUGAGUCUGUCGAUUUCUUUUUUUAAAUUCCAGCAUGGCUUUAGAAAAGGGUAUUCAGGCAAAACUAACAUAGUGGAAUUCGUUCACAGCAUUUCAAACUGUCUUGAUUUCUGGGUCCACGUAGAUGUAGUAUUCUUUUUAUUUUGUAAGGGCUUUUGACACUGUGCUCUACACUCUUAAACCCGUACCUUUUAUUGUAACUUUUAGAAACAUGUAACUUCUAUAUAGACGUAGAUUUCGAGAUUUCUUAUAGGUUACACCACUGUAACGUAUAUUUAGAGGUUAAAAGCGACCAAGGUCAUGUCUUUACAACACGAAUAGAAGUUACAUCUCGGAAAAAACAAAAACAUCUUGUUGUAACUUAUAAAUGUACCCUCUACUCCGACACUGUAACUUCUAAGCGAAAUCUCCAACGAUAAUCUCUUUGUUAGUUUCUUAUCGUUUGUUUUCCUUUUGUUUUUCAGCAUAAUGCUACGUUUCAGCCUCCCAUUCGAGACGACAGUUGCGAAUCUACGCUGUUAUUUUUUACACUGAUCUCUAUGUAUAAAGGCUGGAUCGCGUAUGGGAGAGGGGCUCGUGGGAGAGAGGUACGCAUUCGGGCCGCCAUGUUGGUGGGCCCUAAAACGCUGUGUGUGCCCAUUGGAAACAAUGGGAGGCAACAGAGAUUGUGAGUAUUUAUUGCGCUACAGGCGUUGAUCAUUGUUUGUCGUCACGCGAUUUUGUAAGGUGCCAGUAUACUGAUGUAUCCUAACAGUAUUUCGCAGGUGCCCUGCUUUUCGAUUCUUAAUAACGUUAUGUUUUGCAUUCCGAAACUAGACUGUCACUGCAGUGCAGCGCUGGGAAUUGUACUACAGCACGUUUCCCAGUCAAUAUUUCAAUAAGAAACGAUGUGAGGUUAACAACAACCAUGUAUAUAAUAUCCCGUGCUGCGUUCUGGACAAAAAUUUUUCCGUCACGAACGGUCCGGGAAAAGAUAUACUCGCAUGACAGAAAGAUAUCGUUCUGUAGACUCUCAGCCGUUGUUUUAGCCGUGUAUGCGUCUAGCAUGAUUUAUAUCAAGCAUCGCCGCAGAAAGAGUAUUUUAGUGAACGACAUGGGUGCCAUGCCUCGCACAUAUGGACACACCGCCAAGCAGCUCAAAUAAUUACUUCACGCAAUUCGUUCGCGCUCGUUAGAACAGUUAGUCAGGUAGUGAUGUAAGCUUAAUCAAUUAACUUACUUAGGAAGAGGUGACACCUGCUUGAGACACAGGACUUAUCUCUUUUUUGAAGUACAGCCCUUCUAUGUUUGUUUGUUGCUUCCUUCAUUUGUUCUGCGUAUUUGCAGGCGCGGUUGUGCCAAACUGAAUCCAGCACUGGCUUUGUCAUGCUUGUUAUGUGGAGCACGUUACAAAAAAUGCAGCUCCACAUCUGAAACACCAAUCAGUAUCAUCGUCAUCUAAAAGGGGCACCGUUGUGAGACCAGACACACUUUCUGGAGAUCUUCUAUGGCACUUUCCGCAGUUUGCACAAUUUUCUUCAGCAUCGUAGUCUCUCAUAGGAACCACUUUCAUUAAUGACUCCCAUCUUACCCUUUGAUGUGCAGGGGCCCUCUUGCACUACACACGUAUGGUCUGCAAAUUGCAACAGAACGAUUUGGAGCUUGAAACAGUUGUGCUUUUGUCAUUUUGGACCUCGUGUAUCCUGUCUGUGAAGCGUAAACAAAAAAGUCUAACACGAUAUGCUUUUGUAAAGAAGAUCACUGAUGAUGAGUAAAGAGAGUAUACAUUUUUCAAGUUCAACAUUUAUUUCUUGCACUUAUGCAUUUCAGGAUACAAUGAACGCGCAGGGAGGUCGCAAAAGACUACAUUUAUUGUUUUGUGACCUUCCUACAAUGACAAUAUAUAUUUUUGGGAUGACAAUGGACAGGUACACUCUCUAAAUUUGUAGCACUCAAUUUUAGGUUGGAAUGAGCAAAGAAUAGCAACUUCCCUCCUGAUAUUUUCUCAUAUAUGCUGAGUUUUAAAUUUAAUGUGAUCAACGGUAGAUGUAAACAACAUCAGUACCAGAGAAAUGCAUCCUCAAUGAAUAAAUUUCUUCUUAUAGCAUAUAUGUGCAUGCCUAUUAACUGAAAUGAUUAUCACAGUUCCCUGACAUGUUUUAAUUUCUGAGAGUGUACUGUAGAGGCUGCUUAGAUCUACAACAGUUCACACAAGGUAUUAUAUACUGUGAAUGCCUUUAAAAAUCCCAUGUGACACAUAUGCUUUUACUUUCUGGAGGUGCUGUGGUAGUCAAAGUUUGUGGGCAUUACGCAGGUUCUGCACCCAU